rnacentral:rRNA from 1 species
GGAGUAAAUAGCUAAAAUAUUUUUAUAUA